rnacentral:rRNA from 1 species
CGGUAAUACGGAGGGUGCGAGCGUUAAUCGGAAUUACUGGGCGUAAAGCGCAUGCAGGUGGUUUGUUAAGUCAGAUGUGAAAGACCCGGGGCGUCAACCUCGGAAUAGCAUUUGAAACUAGGCAGACUAGAGUACUGUAGAGGGGGGUAGGAAUUUCAGGUGUAGCGGUGAAAUAGCGUAGAGAUCUGAAGGAAUACCGGUGGCGAAGGCGGCCCCCUCGGACAGAUACUGACACUCAGAUGCGAAAGCGUGGGGAGCAAACAGGAUUAGAUACCCUGGUAG